rnacentral:rRNA from 1 species
GACGAACGCUGGCGGCGUGCCUAACACAUGCAAGUCGAGCGAUGAAGUUCUUCGGAACGGAUUAGCGGCGGACGGGUGAGUAACACGUGGGUAACCUGCCUUGUAGAAGGGGAUAGCCUUCCGAAAGGAAGAUUAAUACCGCAUAACAUCUUUUUAUCGCAUGGUAGAAAGAUCAAAGGAGUAAUCCGCUACAAGAUGGACCCGCGGCGCAUUAGCUAGUUGGUGAGGUAACGGCUCACCAAGGCGACGAUGCGUAGCCGACCUGAGAGGGUGAUCGGCCACAUUGGAACUGAGACACGGUCCAGACUCCUACGGGAGGCAGCAGUGGGGAAUAUUGCGCAAUGGGGGAAACCCUGACGCAGCAACGCCGCGUGAAUGAAGAAGGCCUUAGGGUUGUAAAGUUCUGUUUACGGGGACGAUAAUGACGGUACCCGUGGAGGAAGCCACGGCUAACUACGUGCCAGCAGCCGCAGUAA